AGAGUUUGAUCCUGGCUCAGAUUGAACGCUGGCGGCAGGCUUAACACAUGCAAGUCGAGCGGGGAGAUGUAGCUUGCUACAUUUCCUAGCGGCGGACGGGUGAGUAAUGCUUAGGAAUCUGCCUAUUAGUGGGGGACAACAUUCCGAAAGGAUUGCUAAUACCGCAUACGCCCUACGGGGGAAAGCAGGGGAUCUUCGGACCUUGCGCUAAUAGAUGAGCCUAAGUCAGAUUAGCUAGUUGGUGGGGUAAAGGCCUACCAAGGCGACGAUCUGUAGCGGGUCUGAGAGGAUGAUCCGCCACACUGGGACUGAGACACGGCCCAGACUCCUACGGGAGGCAGCAGUGGGGAAUAUUGGACAAUGGGCGAAAGCCUGAUCCAGCCAUGCCGCGUGUGUGAAGAAGGCCUUUUGGUUGUAAAGCACUUUAAGCGAGGAGGAGGCUACUUAGAUUAAUACUCUAGGAUAGUGGACGUUACUCGCAGAAUAAGCACCGGCUAACUCUGUGCCAGCAGCCGCGGUAAUACAGAGGGUGCGAGCGUUAAUCGGAUUUACUGGGCGUAAAGCGUGCGUAGGCGGCUUUUUAAGUCGGAUGUGAAAUCCCUGAGCUUAACUUAGGAAUUGCAUUCGAUACUGGGAAGCUAGAGUAUGGGAGAGGAUGGUAGAAUUCCAGGUGUAGCGGUGAAAUGCGUAGAGAUCUGGAGGAAUACCGAUGGCGAAGGCAGCCAUCUGGCCUAAUACUGACGCU
rnacentral:rRNA from 1 species